AAGACUACCCGCUGAACUUAAGCAUAUCAAUAAGCGGAGGAAAAGAAACCAACAGGGAUUGCCUCAGUAACGGCGAGUGAAGCGGCAAAAGCUCAAAUUUGAAAUCCUCCGGGAAUUGUAAUUUGAAGGUGGGGUUGAAUAGGUCUAGAUACUUUAAGUCCAUUGGAAAAUGGCGCCAUGGAGGGUGAUAGCCCCGUAAAAGUAUUCAAACCUUCUUUUCUUCCCCUCCUAAGAGUCGAGUUGUUUGGGAAUGCAGCUCUAAGUGGGUGGUAAAUUCCAUCUAAAGCUAAAUAUUGGCGAGAGACCGAUAGCGAACAAGUACAGUGAUGGAAAGAUGAAAAGCACUUUGAAAAGAGAGUGAAAAAGUACGUGAAAUUGUUGAAAGGGAAGGGCUUGCAAGCAGACACAACCUCGGUUGGGCCAGCAUCGGAGUGGGGGGAGACAAAAAAGGUUAGGAAUGUAGCUCAUCUCGAGUAUUAUAUCCUGGCCCUAUAUCUCCACCCCCUUCCGAGGCCUGCG
rnacentral:rRNA from 1 species